AUUGAACGCUGGCGGCAGGCCUAACACAUGCAAGUCGAGCGGAUGAAGGGGGCUUGCUCUCUGAUUCAGCGGCGGACGGGUGAGUAAUGCCUAGGAAUCUGCCUGGUAGUGGGGGACAACGUUUCGAAAGGAGCGCUAAUACCGCAUACGUCCUACGGGAGAAAGUGGGGGAUCUUCGGACCUCACGCUAUCAGAUGAGCCUAGGUACGAUUAGCUAGUUGGUGAGGUAAAGGCUCACCAAGGCGACGAUCGUUAACUGGUCUGAGAGGAUGAUCAGUCACACUGGAACUGAGACGCGGUCCAGACUCCUACGGGAGGCAGCAGUGGGGAAUAUUGGACAAUGGGCGAAAGCCUGAUCCAGCCAUGCCGCGUGUGUGAAGAAGGUCUUCGGAUUGUAAAGCACUUUAAGUUGGGAGGAAGGGCAGUAAGUUAAUACCUUGCUGUUUUGACGUUACCGACAGAAUAAGCACCGGCUAACUUCGUGCCAGCCGCCGCUGUAAAAC
rnacentral:rRNA from 1 species